rnacentral:rRNA from 2 species
CCGUCAACGAUGAGUGCUAGGUGUUGGAGGGUUCCCGCCAUUCAGUGGCGGAGCUAGAGCAUUAAGCACUCCGACUGGGGAGUACGAACGCACGGUUGAAACUCAAAGGAAGUGACGGGGGCCCGCACAAGCGGUGGAGCAUGUGGUUUAAUUCGAAGCUACGCGAAGAACCUUACCAGGUCUUGACAUCUUGCGCUAACCUUAGAGAUAAGGCGUUCCCUUCGGGGACGCAAUGACAGGUGGUGCAUGGUCGUCGUCAGCUCGUGUCGUGAGAUGUUGGGUUAAGUCCCGCAACGAGCGCAACCCUUGUUACUAGUUGCCAGCAUUAAGUUGGGCACUCUAGUGAGACUGCCGGUGACAAACCGGAGGAAGGUGGGGACGACGUCAGAUCAUCAUGCCCCUUAUGACCUGGGCUACACACGUGCUACAAUGGACGGUACAACGAGUCGCAAGCUCGCGAGAGUAAGCUAAUCUCUUAAAGCCGUUCUCAGUUCGGACUGUAGGCUGCAACUCGCCUACACGAAGUCGGAAUCGCUAGUAAUCGCGGAUCAGCAUGCCGCGGUGAAUACGUUCCCGGGCCUUGUACACACCGCCCGUCACACCAUGGGAGUUUGUAACGCCCAAAGUCGGUGGCCUAACCAUUAUGGAGGGAGCCGCCUAAGGCGGGACAGAUGACUGGGGUGAAGUCGUAACAAGGUAGCCGUAGGAGAACCUGCGGCUGGAUCACCUCCUUUCUAAGGAA